ACUACUUUACAUUGUGGCAGAGUGUCAUUUCUUCAGUGUUGUCACAUAAAAAGAUAAAAUUUUUACAAAAGCGUGAGAGGUGUACCAUCUUUUGUGAGAUACUAUAUAUCGCGUAAGCAUCAAAGAAUAUGCAGAUUUGGCACAUGUAUGAAAAUUACCUUUAUUUGUUCAUAUUACCGGAUAGGAGAGUUUUGACCCAUUGUAGUAUUUUAGGCAGGCUUGGCCUUCCUUGCAUUCCUUUGAUAAGAGUGGAGUCUUUGGCUGGCUUGAUGUUAAAUAUUUCACAUUGUUUGUGUAUUCCACACCAUUCAGCCCACCAAGGUAUUUUGUGCAGCCCGCACACUAAGGAGGCCCACUAGGUGGCUUCUGUCUUUAGAGCCACCUGUAGGCCUUUAACAGUACGACCAGACCCCUUCCUUAUUGGCAUCGCGGGAGGAAGCGAGUUCCUCAGAGAAUGGAGCCGUGCGGGAGGGAAGAGGUGGCUGUGAGGAGGGGGCCAGGCUAGAAGGGCCAGCCUUUAAACAUCCUCAGACUGCAGACUGGACCUCAAGGACGCCAAUCUCCAGCACUCAAACGUAGGAAACUAGAGGGUGGCCAUAAAAGUAUAUUUCGACCUGCAUGUCAGUGUGUCUGUCUAUAUGUGUGUCUGUUAGUGUGUGUGUGUGUCCUACUUUAGUUUUUACCCCUUCCUACUGCCAAGUUGUGCAGGUCUGGUGUACGGCUUAGUAACAAAUCAUGACUGUUGGACUGUUACUGAUAACACACUUAUUGACCAAGCCUCAUUUUUCUCUUGAACUUGUUGAAUGACUCAAUUGUCAAGCAAAAUACACCGUAUUCCAGAGUUCUCGACCACUGAGCCAUAAACAUUCCUGUUAAAUGGUUUGUCUUUUAUAGCAAGUGGCAUGUCUCCAUCUUUAUUAUAUUUCAGGGAGCUUUAGUGGGCUGCAGCAGCUGCUUAAGUGCUAGACAAAUCUCCCCCCCCC